ensembl:lncRNA
AUGAUAGAUUGGAUCCGGACAAACCAUCAUUGCUGGCGUUGUGGGCAGAAACACCAGGCAGCUCAGUGCACACUUAAGAAGCCUCGCAGUAUCUGCCAGGGUAAGCAUUUGCAAAUCUUGCGUGAGGUCAACACAAAGGGUGGCAAAGAAUAUUCCUGCCUUGUCAGCUCGACUGCAGAGACCCUGUACUUGGAUAGACCCACUGACUGCAGACGUGUUCUCCCGAAAGUCAUCAGAGUCUUGCUUCACUACGGAGGUAAAGCGCUCGACACCUAUAUUGUCAUGGAUGACGGGUCUGAGCGGACUAUACUUCUUCCUGAUACUACCAAUGGUCUCGGAAUACAAGGCCAAGCUGAAAACAUAGCUUUGUGGACAAUUCGCCAAGAGGUGCAGACUGUCAGUGGUGCAUUGGUUUCCUUUCACAUAUCUCCAGCAGAUCAGCCUCAGAUGUUGUUUAAGAUUGCAGCUGCCUUUACAGCUAAACGCCUUGGUUUGGCUAAUCACUCAUAUCCUUUGAGCAUCCUUAAGAAAUACAAGCACCUGAAAGAUCUUGCCCUGCAGACCUUUGAAAAGGUAUGUCCUCUAGUGCUCAUUGGGGCUGAUAAGACCCACCUGAUAACACCAAUAGAACCUGUCCAUCUUGGCCCACCCGAUGGUCCGGCCGCCAUCAAAACAAGGCUUGGAUGGACCCUGCAGGGACCAGUCAAGCUCCUGGAUACUCAGUUGCAGCCACAACAGUGCCUGUUCCUGUCUCUUAGCCCCGCAGUACUGGAACUCAAACGAGAUGUUGAGAAGUUACGGCAACUUGAUGUUCCGCCUUUCCGAUGUGAGAAGCAGGUCACAAGAUCCAGGGAGGAUCGGCAAGCCAUUAACCUUCUAGAGACCAGGAUGACUUGUGUGGAGGUAAAUGGGAUAUUACGCUAUGCGACACCCUUGCUGCGCAUAAAGGAUUCCCCCUUUUUCCAUGCUCCGAAGGAGGCGGUGAUGCCAAGCCUCAGGGCGGCACUCGCUCCCCAGCCUCCCGGUGUUGGGUGGCCUCCGCCAGCUUGA